UUUAACAUAUCGUAAUAUGGUGGGCCGGACUGAUGAGAGGGGCCGUGUCCAUUGCUCUUGCUUAGAACAAGUUUCCUGCACUUCGAGAGUUUGUCAGUGGUGGAAAGCUUGUCUGGGGAUCGAGUGAUAAGUAGACGGAGCAAGCUAAAGAGUUGGUGGAGUACUAAGUAUUAUUUUGUUUCCUCCUAAUUGUGAUGAUGAUUUGCUAAUUAGAACAAAUUAGAGGAGUUAAAAGUUUUUGAUAUAAAAUUUAUAAGUUAAUUUUUUAUGAUAGAUUGCUAAUGUAGGGAACUUCGAUGGAGAUUAUUAAGUCUCAUAUUUAACAUUGUGCGGCACUAUUUCA